UUUUUUUUUUUUUGAGACACAAUUUCACUCUGUCGCCCAGGCUGGAGUGCAGUGGUGUGAUCUCAGCUCACUGCAACUUCUGCCUCCUGGGUUCAAGCAAUUCUCAUGCCCCAGCCUCCCAAGUAGCUGGGAAUACAGUUGUGUGCCACCACACUGGCUUAUUUUUUGUAUUUUUUUAGUAGAGAUGGGGUUUCACCAUGUUGGCCAGGCUGGUCUCUAACUCUUAUCCUCAAGUGAUCUGCCUGCCUUGGCCUCCCAAAGUGCUGGGAUUACAGGCAUGAGCCACCGCACCUGGCCUACUUAUCCUGUUAAUGAAAAUAUUUGAUUGGACAGAACAUCUUAUUCCUUAACUCUGUUAUGUGCUUUUGUAGAUUGUUUUUACUUACUGUAGAUAUCUGUUGCUCCAGAGUCCCAGAAAUCAGUAUGAUGAGUUCAGCACAGUUACUAGAAGGAGACAAAAAGAUAUCUUCUUAAUUAGGUGAUAUCAGGGAUAGUUCUGGUUAUUGAUUGCUGUGUGGAAAACACUCCAAAACUCAGUGACUUUAAACAACACCAGUCAUUGUGUUAUUUCUCAUUAUCCUAAGUACUGACUGGGCUCAGCCAGACAGUUCUUAUUCGGGUUCUCAUGCAGUUAUAGUCAUCAUCAGAUUGUGGCCGCGACUGGCAUAAUCUCAAAGGCUUCCUUAGUAUUUCUGGCAGUUGAUGCUAGGACCUCAGCUAGUGCUGGGGCUGGAACAUGUCUACACAUAGCUUCCCCACAGCAUGGUGGCUAGGUACUAGGAGUGACUGUCCCAAGAGGACCAGGCAGAAGCAGUUACAUUUUAUGACCUAGUCUCAGAAGUCUCAUAACAUCACUUCCACUAAAGUCCCAAGCCCCCCCAGAUUCAAAUGGAGGGAGCAUAUAUCCCAUCUCAGUGGUAGGAAUUUCAAAGAAUAAAUUCUGUGAAACUGUAGUAGAUAGUCUGUUUUCUCCCCUGUUUAAAACCUCCUGAGGACCUCACAUGCUUCUGGAUAAAGCUCAGGCUCUUCAACAUGGUUUAGAAGGUCCUUCCUAAUCUGGCCCACAUUUGUCCAUCCAGCUCCAACUCUUGCUACUCUACGCCCCUCUUCCCCUCUUGUGGAAUGGCUAAUUCCUACUCAUCAUUCAGGUCUUGGCUUAGACAUCUUUUCAUCUGAGAAGGCUUUCUGGUCUAGUCUCACCUGGUUAGGUGAACUCCCCAUGUGCCCCAUGUACCUCAUUUAUCAAAGUGCUUAUCAUAUGCCUGUCACUGUCUGUUUUCUUCACUAGACUCAGGUGCCAUGUCUGUCCUUUCUGCUCUGUUUGCUGGGUGCCUAGCAUGGUAGGGGAUGUAUCAGAGGAUUAGUACUUAUUUAACUCACCAGCUCAUUUAACUAUAUUGUAUAACAAUGUUGGUGGUCAUAUUGGUCCCCCAUGGACAGCUUUUCGUCUCUAAUACCAUACACUCAGUGCAGGGUCUGAAUGUCCCCCCAAACUCAUAUGUUGAACUCCAAAUCCCCAAGGUGUUGGUAUUAGAUGAUGUAGCCUUUGGGAAGGAAUUAGGGUGGUGCCCUCAUGAAUGGGAUUUGUGUCAUUAUAAAACAAGCCCAAAGAAAUUUGGUCACCCCUUCCUUUAAGCGAGGUCAUGGCAAAAAGACGCUGUCUAUGAACCAGAAAAUGGGCUCUCACUAGACACCAAAUGCUGGUGUCUUGUUCUUGGAUUUCCCAGCCUUCAGAACUGUGAGAAAUAUAUUUCUGUUAUUUAUAAGCCACCCAGUUUUUGGUAUUUUGUUAUAGCAGCCUGAAGAGACUAAGACAGCCAGUCCCAACCUUCCACAUUUAGACCUGACUCCAAGUUUUGCUCAGCCCACUGUGUAUCCCUUCCUCCUCCCAACCAAAGUGUCCCCACUCUUUCUCUAUUCUGUUCUGCCUAUUAUUCAAGGUCUAACUUGUGUCACUUUUUCAAUGAGGCAUUUGCAAGCUCUUUAAAUUCUCAAGGAUUCUCCAUUAAUUCACCAUAUCUAUUUUGAGAAUCUACAAAGGACAAGGCACUACGAAAGACUCUACAUGCCACAGGGAAAAGACAGACAAGAUCUCUGUCCCAACACAGAAAAUUUUAGCCUGCCAUGUUGACUCCCAGGGAUCUUUUUGUUUCUGUAGGAGGUGCUCAUUACAGAGUGGCCAAAUUCCUACUGAAGAAUGGACUUGGUUGUGAAAUAAAACAAUCCUGGGCAAUAUUUGUUGAUAGUUUUGUUGAGGAUGAUUCAGGAAAUAAAUACAAACUUUUAACU
rnacentral:lncRNA from 1 species